rnacentral:rRNA from 1 species
GAUGAACGCUGGCGGCGUGCCUAAUACAUGCAAGUCGAGCGAAGCGGGGACGGGUGAGUAACACGUGGAUAACCGCCUAUAGGACUGGGGUAACUUCGGGAAACCGGAGCUAAACCGGAUACUUAUACAUGGUUCCGGGCUGCAGUAGCUAGUUGGUAAGGUAACGGCUUACCAAGGCAACGAUGCAUAGCCGACCUGAGAGGGUGAUCGGCCACACUGGAACUGAGACACGGUCCAGACUCCUACGGGAGGCAGCAGUAGGGAAUCUUCCGCAAUGGGCGAAAGCCUGACGGAGCCAUGCCGCGUGAGUGAUGAAGGUCUUCGGAUCGUAAAACUCUUUUAUUAGGGAAGCGGUACCUAAUCAGAAAGCCACGGCUAACUACGUGCCAGCAGCCGCGGUAAUAC